AUGUGUGGUGAUCACUGGCUUCAAAAAUGGACACGUGAGGAUUCUUGGAAGCCUAGGGCGAAGGGGCCCCCUUCCAUCCAGAUUCACUGCUCGGACUUCUCCGCACAGCCCGGUUUGCCUCGCCCUGCGUCUCAGGUGCCGCCUGGCCUGGAGGCGUCCGAGCUGCGCGCUGCCGAGGAGGCCCAACGCCAGGCAGAGCUGAGCCUCGAGGGCCCUCCGCCCCGGGGCCGGUUGCGCGGAGCCGGCGCGG
rnacentral:lncRNA from 1 species